CAGCAGCAUUUCUACUCUUUCCCCGCCUUGGUGCCAGGGUUUGUCUACCUUCUCCAAUUUUGCUGUUUCCAUUCUUUCCCCAAGUCCUUACUGCUGUGGAUUCCAGGAAAGUGGAUGAACAAAUGAUCCGGGGCCAACAGGGGAAAUGGCAAUUUGUUCCACAACCGGACCCCACUACCUGCCUCUGUUGAGAACCGAUAUUCUUUCAGUCAAACAUCACCCACCGCAAUUUUCAAAACUGAGCAAUACCGCGCGUAUUCUAUAUAAAGAAGAUAAAUUUAAGACACAUGUGGAAGGGAAAAAAAAAUAAAAAAUAAAAAAGGAGCCCUCAGCCCUCUCUCUGAGUUGUUUCCCAUUUCCUCCUCCCUUCUUUACACCCUCCGUAGCGCUCCCACCACUCCUACUCGCCGGGACAGGGGCUGGAAGCUGUUUCCCGAACAGACACGGAUUUUGCUCCCGUUAAUUUUAAAAGAGCCUUUUCCUUCUAUACCCA
rnacentral:sRNA from 2 species